rnacentral:rRNA from 1 species
AACGUAGGAGACAAACGUUAUCCGGAGUUACUGGGCGUAAAGGGCGUGUAGGUGGUUACGUAAGUCUGGCGUGAAAUUUCUCGGCUUAACCGAGGCAGGUCGUCGGAUACUGCGAGACUAGAGGACGGUAGAGGCGUGUGGAAUUCCGGGUGUAGUGGUGAAAUGCGUAGAGAUCCGGAGGAACACCAGUGGCGAAGGCGACACGCUGGGCCGUACCUGACACUGAGGCGCGAUAGCAUGGGGAGCAACAGGG